UACGUAGGGUGCAAGCGUUAAUCGGAAUUACUGGGCGUAAAGCGUGCGCAGGCGGUUGUGUAAGACAGAUGUGAAAUCCCCGGGCUCAACCUGGGGAACUGCAUUUGUGGACUGCACAGCUGGAGUGCGGCAGAGGGGGAUGGAAUUCCGCGUGUAGCAGUGAAAUGCGUAGAUAUGCGGAGGAACACCGAUGGCGAAGGCAAUCCCCUGGGCCUGCACUGACGCUCAUGCACGAAAGCGUGGGAG
rnacentral:rRNA from 1 species